AUAAUUAACAACUUUAAAGUUUUAAUUUAUGUACACUCAUGGACAAAAAAAAUAGCGCACCAAGAAAUAAUUGCGGGAUCGUAACGAAACUUGCAAUGAAGGUACAUGUCGGGGAGAUAUGCAAAUGAUUAGGAAAGCAGCGUGAUUGCGCAAUACGUAUAGCCGGUAGAGGGCGUUGAACGUCGCCCUCUGUGGAGUGUAAAACAGGUAACCAAAGCUUAUUGGAGUGUGCUGAAUCGUUUACAAAGGAAGAGCUGAGGUAGACAUGUCAUUACGCCGUGUUCGAAGACAAUAUGAGCAGUUGUCGCAGUUUGAGAGGGGGAGAAUCGUUGGGAUGAUGGAAGCUGAUUGGUCAACUAGGCGAGUAGCUCGUCAAUUAGGCCGCUCGGACUGUGUUGUUAGGAGGUGUUGGGACCAGUGGAUCCGAGAGAUGUCAUGUACACGAAGACCAGGCUCAGGACGCCCUCGACAGACCAGUCGUUGAGAAGACCGCCACAUCAUAAGAAAUGCACGCGUACAGCCAAGUGCUUCAUCGGCCGUCAUCCAGGCACAGGUACUACCUUAACUAGGGGCCCCUGUGUCUUCUCGAACCAUACGAAGGCGCCUGUCUGAAGGACAGUUGGUAUCGCGGCGCUCAUUAUGUGUGCUGUCCAUGACACCAGCCCAUCGACGCCUCCGUUUAGAGUUUUGCCGUGCACAAGGAAACUGGACUGCAGCGGAAUGGAACCAGGUCGUCUUUAGCCACGAAUCCAGAUUCAAUCUCAGUAGUGAUGACAAUCGUGUUCGUGUGUGGAGACCCCGUGGUGAACGCCUCUAUCCUGCCUUUGCAGUACAACGACACAUCGCCCCCGCAGCUGGUGUGAUGGUAUGGGUGCCAUUGCCUACAAUGCACGAUCACCCCAUGUAUUGUUCCGUGGCAAUAUGACAACCCAGCGGUAUGUCCAUGAAAUCCUGCAACCACAUGUGUUGCCACUCAUGCAACAGCUCCCAGGAGCCAUUUUUCAACAAGACAAUGCUCGGCCUCAUACGACAAGGGUUUCGCAAGACUGUCUCCGUACUGUUACUAUCCUUCCUUGACCUGUCCGAUCCCCAGAUUUGUCUCCAAUCGAGCAUAUCUGGGAUCAUUUGGGACGGCGAGUUGGGCAUCCCACGAGUUUGAACGAACUAGUUGCAAGGUUGCAGCAAAUAUGGAGCAAAAUGUCUCAAGACAUAAUACAGAACUUGUAUGCCUUAAUGCCCGAUCUUAUCGAAAAUCCUACAAACCAGACAUUUUAGCACUUAUGUUUCAAAAAUACUACCAAUUAAAGAUAUUGAAUGCUAUAAUAUUUAAACAGUUUUCGAAAUUCUUAUUCUAUUCCGUCUUUAGAAAGUGUUAAGUUUCUUUAAAUACUUUAAGAAUUGUCUUUAUACGAAGGUAAAUGUAACAUAUAUGACAAAAACAUCGAGAAUUAGAUAAAUAAAAUAAAAAUGAGAUAAAUUAACUAUUUUCCUCUGAUAUCAAUCGCAUAAAUAAUUAUGAUCAUUUUGCUUUUAUACAUUUAGCGAUGUUUUUUAAUAUGAUUUACUUAUAAACUUAUAUUUUGUUUAGCUAAUGGUUCGUAUAUUUUCUGUUUUUUUUUGUGUUUUUAUUAUUCACAUAUUACAGUAUCUCUCACUAAUUAAAUUUCACCUAAAAAUGCAAUGAUUUACCUAGAAAUUUUGUAAAAAGCAUGCUACAUCCUGAUUUAGGAUAAUCAAUUGCAUCCUAAAUUUUAUUAUAGAAACAUACAUAAGACAAAUAUGGUAAAAAGUACUUUAACUCGUAUAAUAUUGUACAUUAAAAAAAUCUUAAUCUCUUCUUUUAAUCUAACUACAUAAUGGAUUUAGAAACCAGGAUAAAUGCUUGUAUAUCAAUUACAAUAUAAUAUUAAAUUUAGUAACUCUGGUACAUUAAAAAAAUAACUUUAACUAAAGUAUUUUUCUUUACAAAAAACAAAUUUAAUUUUAUGAUAUUGCAAUAACACUUUUUAAAAAUAUUUUUCAGUUGAUAAGGCUGAUGGUAAGAAUAGUUAGAUAUAUCAUUAUGAAAAUUCAAAUAAUAAUUUAAAAUAAUAUACAAUUAUACAAUUGUUCACAAAUUUACAUUUGAUUUAACGAAACAUAAAUGAAAUUAUCGGGAAUGCUAAUUUUAUGUUCUUAUGAUUUCUUGCUUCAAAAUUAAGUGACUACUUUGAAAUGGAUAUUUUUUGUAAAUUUUUAAUGAGCAUUUAUGCCUUCAUAAAAUAUGCCUUUCUAUAAAUAAGAAAUUAUUUUAUUUCAGAUCUAUUAUCAGCAGUAGGAAAUGCCGUCAAUGGUGUUGGCCAAACUGUUCAAAAUGGUGUAGCACCUGUUGUUAAUGGAGGUAACUCUAUAUAAGUAUAUUUUAUGUUGAUGAAAAUAUUACAGUUAUUGAACGAAUAAUACAUUUAUAUAAAUAAUUUUGUGGCAUGUAAUUUAUUACUUAGCGUCAGAUACUAUAUAUAUUUACUUUUAUUUAUUUAAUAAAAAGAAUUGUUUAAAAAAAAACAAUUCUAAUACUAAUUUUUUUUAUUUUAUAAGAUAAUGUUUCAAUAUGAAUUAUAGUCUGUGUGUGUAAGAGAGGAAUACAUAGUGAUGAUUUGAUCUGAGGAGAUCAAUGUUGCCAGCAAGCUAAAUUUUGAUAAAAAGCUUUGUUAUCGCUUUUAAUAAAUAAUGCAUACUUCAGUUCCAAGGUUAAAAAUAUCAAUUUGAAUUGUAUAAUUGUAUUAAAUAUAUUUGGGUACUAGAGUUUAAUUCUCCAACAAAAUAUUAAAAUGACAUCAAUGUGACGAAAUUUUGUUUAUUAUGCUUUUUCAAACACCGUCGACUUUUAGUUAAAGAGGAAAUUAUUAUUCGAACCUGUAUGUCCAACUCAUUGCAGUUUCUCUAUUUUAAUGAUAUCCUGAUGUAAUAUGAGCCACUUUCUAAUAUCUUCUUUGUGAGUAUGACAAACUCAGAAAUUAUGAUACAUGUUUUUAAUUAGAGUUAAUUUUAUUGAUAUAGAUAACCAAUAAUUCCUCCUCUAAUACUUAAAGAUCCUAUACCACAUUACGUCUUCAAGUUGAGACUUCAUAUUUAUCCACUAUUUCUCCAAAUUUUUUUAAAGAUAUAAUUGACGUUUUUUUCUGAAUAAUUGAGUACUCUGAAUACCUUUACUGUCUACUGCUAUGCAAUUGCAAAUAAUAGAAAUAAACAAAAAAUAAAAGCAACAAAUACUAAAAAUUUUUAUAUUUGAAAUUUUUUGCAAUGAUUUGGUUUAAAUAUUAACAAAAUUUUAAAACAUAGAAACAUGCUAUGGUAAUUCUAGAUUUCAUAAAUUUCACAGUUGCGUUUUGAAAAUUUAAAAUUUCACCGAAAAAAUUUCUGUAAAGCUUCUGAAAAUUCUUAUUAACUGUUUAUUCGUGUUUUAAUUUUUUUAGUCGCUAAUGGAAUCGACAGUAAGUUUUUAUACAUUUUAUACAGUUUUUAUCAUUUUUUUACAUAUCUCUUCGUAAUUGAAAAUAUUUUGAAACUAAUAGACUAUUACAGAUUUGGAAUCAAUGAUAUUCAAGAAUUUUUACUCUUACCUUAUCAAUUUGUAUUGUGUAAAUAAAAUAUUUUGUCCAUACAAUUUUUAGCACUUGGAUGUGGAAGUAAGUAAUACUCCUUCGCAUUUAAUUUAAAACUGCAUUUUUGAACAUUCUUCAUAAGGAAAUUUAUGAUUAAGUGGAAAUCUAUACCAAUUAAAAAUAUAGAGUAAGUUAUUUGUCAAUGAAAAUGUAAAAAUCUUAAUAAAAUCAAGAACUUAAAAUUGUUUUGAUUUUAAAAAUUGAAGCCAUAAAAAAGGCCAUGAAAAUUGCCUGGAAAAAAAUUGCAAUAUUUUAUUACUCUAAUUUUUACAUUAAAAAAAUCUGAAUUUCAUGGUCCACAGUAAUUGUAGCACAAAUGUUAAAGACAACAAUAUUUGGGUAAAAAUUCGUAUUUUUAGUAUGAAGUUAAAAUCGUUAUAAUAUCAAAGCGCAUGCUAAGUAUGGCAAUAACUUGCCAUAAGGAAAGUAAAACAAAGACAAAGUGA